rnacentral:lncRNA from 1 species
CAACAAAAGAGAUACUUGAUACUGAGCCAAACAUUUUGGGGAGGAACUUCCUACAUGCCUCUUGCCCAGGGUCACUCAGAACAGUUUUCAACACAGGUGUAGACUUGAAUCUAUAGAUGCAAAAGUAGGAGUGAGUCUGAAGUGAUAGACUAGAGGAGCAGGUCAAAAGACUAUUCAAGGUAAAGAACGUCAUAGCAAAUAUCUUUGUCAGGGAUUGGAGGUUAGUUCCAAAGGAAAAUUCUUGCCUAAAAAUUAUGUCCUGGAGUUACCACUGUGGCUCAGCGGUAAUGAACCAGACUAGUAGCCACAAGGAUGUGGGUUCGAUCCCUGGCCUCGCUCAGUAGGUUAAGAAUCCAGAGUUUCGGUGAGCUGUGGUAUAUGUCGCAGACGCACCUCAGAUUGGCGUUACUGUGGCUGUGGCAUAGGCUUGCAGCUCUGAUUUGACCCCUAGCCUGGGAAAUUCCAUAUGCCACAUGUGUGGCCCUAAAAAAAGCAAAAAACAAAAAUAAAAAAUAUUAUGUCUUAAAUGAGUUAUGGCGAAGCCUACAAAACUACUAAAUCUUAUUUCUAGAAAGAAAACAAUUUUCUUACAUUUAGUAAUAACAGUCUAUUGAAAUACAUUACAAGAUGUUUUACAUUUUCAUGUUCUUAAAACAAAGCUGCAUCCAAUUUUGUAGUAGGCCAUUAUGAAUGGAUUUGAAAUGCCUGAAGCUUUCAACAUUAGUAAAGAAUUAAGAGCAUGUUUUGUUCUUUUGAAAAGUUCUUGAAACUGAUGUCCUGAUAAACUUACCAGGAUUUCCCUUCUGAAUUAAGUAAGGUAAAAGUCCAGUUAGGGUCCCCCCAGUGAGAGUCAAAAUCUGUUUUAGAAGCUUGCAAUUCACAGAAUUGUUUUCCUUUUGAGAAAGCUGAUAGUUGGCAAUAGCAUGUUUACUUUCAAAACACAGGACUGGAGAAUAUGUUAAGAUUUCCAGUGGAACCCCAAAUUUUAACAGAUCCAUUUGAGAUCAGCUAUAACACAUAUAUAUUAUCUGUUUUUGAAUCACAUAAUAAAAAUACUAUAUUUAAUACUAUAUAUUAAAUUACUUUCUUGCCUAAGACUUCUUGAAAUAGUAUUAAUUCUCACUGGUGAAUUUAUUAAUGAUAUUGUGGAUCUUCCUUGGUAGCUGUAGUAUUUGUAGGCUAGUAUUUCAAUGCACAGAGCUUUAGCUAAGCAGAUAAUCAGUUCUAUCACUACACUAACCUUAUAUUUUCCCUGUCACACUGAAAAACCAUGUAUUCAGACUUAGAGGAGAAGAGGUGAGACGGGAUUAAGAUAGUGGAAUAGAAGGAUUGGAGCUCAACUUCUCUCACAAAAACAACAAAAUUACAACCAAAUACUGGACAACCCACAACCAAAUGGACUGGAAACUUUCAAAAAGAUACCCUACUCCAGAAGACAAAGAGGAGGCCACAUCAAGAAGUAGGAGAGGUGAUUAUCUGAUAUAAGCAAUCCCAUACCUCCUGGGUGGGAAGCCCACAGACUGGAAAGUAACUGUAUCACAGAGACUCACCUACAGGAGUGAGAGUUCUGAGCCCCACAUCAAGCUUUCACUUGUGGGGAUCUGGCAUUGGGAAAAAGAGCCCCCAGAGCAUCUGGCAUUGAAGGCCAGUGGGGCUUGUGCACAGGAGCUCCAUGGAACUAGGGGAAAUGGAGACCCUAUUCUUGAAAGAUGCAUACAGACUUUCAUGAGCACUGGGUCCCAGGGCAAAGCAAAGGCUCCAUAGGAAUCUGGGUUGGACCUGACCGGAGUUCUUGGAGGAUCACCUGGGAAAACAGGGGGUGGCUGUGGCUCCUUGUGGGGGAAGGGCAUUGGAAGCAAAGCUCUUGAGAAUAUUCAUCAGCAUGCCUUUCUUAUGGAGGUGGACAUUUUGGGAAAAUAUGGCCCCACCCAACAGUGCUGAGAAGCCCCAGGGCAAACAACAAUCCAGGUGGGAUCACAGCCCCACCCAUCAGUAAACAGGCUGCCUAAGGCAAGCACCCCCCCCACACACACACACACAGCUGCCUAUAAUCUCACCAAGACAAAGCCCCACCCACCAGAGGGAUAGGAAUCAGCCCCAUCUACCAGGGGGCAGGUACCAGUCCCUCCCAUCAGGAAAGCUAAGUGAUCUGGAGAUUAUCAGCCUCCAGGAAAAGGACUUUAGACUGUUGAUGCUGAAGAUGAUGCAAGACAUUGGAAAUAAACUGCAGACUUAGAGGAAUAGAAUGUAUUCUAAAAUAUGGGAAUGAAAAAGGAAUUGUACACUUCUAUGUUUCUAGAAAUAGAAAAUAAAUGCAGGCAUGAAUCAUAAUUGGUAUUAUACUGCCUAUUGUUUUCAAACAGAUUACAAAAUGAAAAUGAAGUACUCUUUUUUUUUUUUUUUUUUUUUUUUUGGUCUUUUUGCCUUUUCUAGGGCCACUCCUAUGGCAUAUGGAGGUUCCCAGGCUAGGGGUCUAAUCGGAGCUGUAGCUGCUGGCCUAUGCCAGAGCCACAGCAACUCCAGAUCCGAGCUGUGUCUGCAACCUACACCACAGCUCACAGCAAUGCCGGAUCCUUAACCCACUGAGCAAGGGUAGGGAUCGAACCUGCAGCCUCAUGGUUCCUAGUCAGAUUCAUUAACCACUGAUCCACGACGGGAACUCCAAAAUGAAGUAUUCUUUAUGGAAAUGAUAACACCCACAAGAGAGACAGAAAGAAACAGAGAGAGGUAUUGAUAUUGAUUCAUUAUAUACUAAUGCUAGUAUUGCCUUCCUUUGUAGUUUUACCUCUCUUAAUAACACUAAUGGCUAAAAGUAAGUGUUUACUAUGUGCCAGGCACAGUGCUAAAUGUUUUUAUGUUGUGUCACCACUUCACAGAUGAGUAAAACUUAAAUAGAAAAGUUGUCACUUCUCCAGUGUCAUAGUCCUAGGUAGUUAAGGAAGGUCUUGAAUACAGAUUUAACUCUAAUGUCAGUGCUCUUACCUACUGUAUUAGUUUCCCGUGACUGAUAUAAUAAAUUAACACAAAUUGGGUAACUUAAAACAAUAGAUACUUAUUCUCCCACAGAUAUGGAAUAUAAAACCUUGAAUUCAAAGUGUCAGAACUCCAGAGAUUCUAGGGAAGAAUCCAUUCCUUACCUCUUCCAGCUUCUGAUGGCUUAGAUAUUCCUUGGCUUGUGAUCAAAUCACUCCAAUUACCAGUUAGCCCACAACAACUUGUAUGAUACUUUCUUCCAUUCAGCUUCUUUUGUUAUCAAUAUUGACUUUUUGGUAGGCAUUAAUUGUAAAACCAAUAUCCCCUCCAUCUUUGUAACAGAAUCCCAGUUUUGUUUGGGACAUCUAAGCUUGUCCCUGUUUUUUUCCAGCCUCCCUUGCAGCUAUUUCUGGCUUAUGAAAUUGAAGGAGCAGUAUGAUGGUGAGAGGGGAAGUUUUUGUCUUCCUGAUAAGAGGAUACAAACUUCCUCAGUCCUUCCACUAUAUCUAGCAAUUCCAUUCCUGCGUAUUUAUCCAAGAGAAAGGAAAACUUAUGUACAUGAUCUGAGAGAGAAUGGAUAUGUGUAUGACUGGGUCACUUUGUUGUACAGCAGAAAUUAUCAUAAUCUUGUAAAUUAACUAUACAUCAAACUAAAAAAAAACCUGUACACGAACAGAAGCUUUAUUUGCAGUAGCCGAAAACUGGUGGGGGGUGGGGAGACAAAUGUCCUUCAACUGGUGAGUGGAUAAACUGUGAUAUACCUGUAUGAUAUACUACUGUUCAGCAAUAAAAAGGAAGGACAUACUGAUACAUGGAACAACCUAGAUGGAUCUCCAAAGAAAUAUGUGUGAAAAAAAGCAAAUCCCGAAAGGUUCCAAAUUAUGAGUCCAGUUUUAAACAUUUUUGAAAUGACUACAUUUUAGAAAUAGAGGUAUAUUAGUGGUUGUCAGGGGUUAGGUUGCAAGAGGUAGAAGAGAGUUGUAAAAGAACAACAAGAGGGAUCUUCGUGGUGAGGGAAUUAUUCUGUAUUUUGACUGUGGUGGUGGACACAAGGGCCUUACACAUAGGAUAGGAUUCCAUAGAACUAAAUUCACACACACACACACACACACACACACACACACACACACACACACAAAUACAAAUAAAACUGGGGAAAUCUGAAUAAGAUCAAUGAACUCUACUAAUGUCAACAUCCUGGUUGCUCUAUUGUACUAUAGUUUUGCAAAAUAUUACCACUGGGGAAAACUGGGUAAAGGAUACAAGGAUUAUUUCUGCAUCAUGUCUUAAAAUUACACAUGAAUCAGCAAUAUUCAAUAAAAAUGUCAACCAAAAAUUUAAUGUCAUGGUGGUAUUCAUAGAGAACUAAGGGAUACAACAGGAGGAAGUACCUAAAUCUGCCUUCGAUGUGGGAAAGGGGGAAGACUUUGUGUUGAAAUAGAUACCUAAGCUGAGUCUUGAAAAAUGAGUAGGAACAUUCCAGGUAGAUGGGAAACGGAUAUAAGGAUACUCCAGGAAGAUAGAGCAGAAUGCAAAGAAAUCUGAGAGAGCAUGCUAGACUGAGGGAGCUGCAAGUAACUAAAGUAUGGCUGAAGCAUAAAGAACAUAUGCAGGAAAUCUCUCUUUUCCUGAAAUGUUCACCUUUGGUAGUAUUCAAAGGGAUCCCUGGAAUUUGACACCAUGAUACAGGUGAAUCAAAAGGGAACUCUAUUUGUUUUUUAAAUGGUUUCCUUUGCUGUGCAAAAAAAAAAAAAAACUGAUUUUAAUUAGGUUCCAUUGGUUUAUUUGUGUCUUUAUUGUCAUUAUUCUAGGAGGUGGAUCAAACAAGAUCUUGUUGUGAUUUAUCCAAAGAACAUUCUGCCUAUGUUUUCCUAUAGGCAUUUUAUAGUAUCUGGCCUUACAUUUAGGUCAUUAAUCCAUUUAUUUUUGUGUAUGGUGUUAGAGAAUGUUCUAAUUGCAUUCUUUUACAUGUAGCCAUCCAGUUUUCCCAGCACCAUUUAUUGAAGACACUGUCUUUCCUCCACCUAGUCAACUAAUCUAAGACAAAGGGGGUUCAUAGAUUAGUUGGCCAUAGGUGCUUGGGUUUAUUUCUGGGCUUUCUAUCCUGUUCCAUUGACCUAUAUUUGUUUUUUGUGCCAGUAACAUAUUCUUUUGAUGACCAUAGCUUUGUAAUAUAGUCUGAAGUGAUGGAGCCUGAUUCCUCCAGUUCCAUUUUUCUUUUUCAAGAUUGCUUUGGCUAUUCAGGGUCUUUUGUAUUUCCAUACAAAAUUUAAAAUAUUUUGUUCUAGUUCUGUGAUGAAUGUUAUUGGUAAUUUGAUAGAGAUUGUAUUGAAUCUCUAGAUUGCCUUGGGUAGUAUAGCCACUUUGAUAAUAUUGAUUCUUCCAAUCCAAAAGCAUGUAUAUCUUUCCCUCUGUGUCAUCUUUGAUUUCUUCCCUCAGAGUCUUAUAGUUUUCAGAAUACAGGUCUUUUGUUUCUUUAGGUACUUUUUUUUAAUUUACAUAAUUUUAUUUUAUUUAUUUUUUUUCACUGUAUCUUUAGGUACAUUUAUUCCUAGGUAUUUUAUUCUUUUUGAUGCAAUGGUAACAAUUAUUAGAGAAAUACAAAUCAAACUACAAUGAGGUACUAGUCAAACCAGUAAGAAUAGCCAUCAUUAAUAAGUACACAAGUAACAAAUGCUGGAGAGGGUGUGGAGAAAAGGGAACCCUCCUUUACUGUUGGUGGAAAUGUAAAUUGGUACAACCACACUGGAAAAACAAUAUGGAGGUUCCUCUGAAAAUUAAAUACAGAACUACCAUAUGAUUCAGCAAUCCCACUCCUGGGAAUAUAUCUGGAUAAAACUACAAUUUAGAAAUAUACAUGCAUCCCUCUGUUCACUGUAGCACUAUUUACAAUAGUGAAGACAUGGAAACAACCUAAACAUCCAUUGACAGAUGAAUGGAUUAAGAAGAUGUGAUACAUGUAUACAAUGGAGUACUACUCAGCCAUAGAAAAGAACAAAGCAAUGUCAUUUGCAGCAACAUGGAUGCAACUAGAGAUUCUCAUACUAAAUGAAGUAAGUCAGAAAGAGGAAGACAAAUACCAUAUGAUAUCACUUAUAUGUGGAAUCUAAAAUAUGGCACAAAUGAACCUAUCUACAAAACAGAAACCAACUCAUGGAAAUGGAGAAAAACUUGUGCUUGCCAAGGAGGAGAGGGGAAGAAGUGGGAUGGAUGGGGAGUUUGGGGCUGGUAGAUGCAAACUAUUACAUUCAGAUUGGAUAAGCAAUGAGGUCCUAUUUUACAGCACAGGGAACUAUAUCCAAUCUCUUGGGAUAGACUUUGAUAGAAGAUAGUAUGAGAAAAAUAAUGUAUAUUAUAUAUGUACAUAUGACUGGGUCACUGUGUGUACAGCAGAAGUUGACACAACACUGUAAAUCAACUAUACUCUAAUAAAAAU